rnacentral:rRNA from 1 species
AUUUGACCUCAAAUCAGGUAAGAAUACCCGCUGAACUUAAGCAUAUCAAUAAGCGGAGGAAAAGAAAAUAACAAUGAUUCCCCUAGUAACUGCGAGUGAAGAGGGACAAGCUCAAAUUUUAAAUCCGUCGGGUUACACCUGACCGAGUUGUAAUUUGAAGAGGCGUUUUCCGCGUUUUUGAUCAGUCCAAGUCCUUUGGGAUAGGGCAUCAUGGAGGGUGAGAAUCCCGUUCGGCUGAUCAGAUUCGCUUUACGAUACGUCAUCUAAGAGUCAAGUUGUUUGGGAAUGCAGCUUAAAAUGGGAGGUAAAUUUCUCCUAAGGCUAAAUAACGGCGAGAGACCGAUAGCGAACAAGUACCGUGAGGGAAAGAUGAAAAGAACUUUGAAAAGAGAGUUAAACAGUACGUGAAAUUGUUGAAAGGGAAACGAUUGAAGCCAGUCGUACCGGUGGGUAAUCAGCCUUUCGGCGUGAUUAUGUGGAGCGUGAGGAGUUAAACGCCCUCAUGGCCUGCAUAUUCGUGUUCUUUGGGUGUACUUACCCGCAUGGUAGGUUAACAUCAAUUUCGAACGUCAUAAAAUGGUUGGAGGAAUGUAGCUUCGAUCUCGUAUUGAAGUGUUAUAGCCUUCGGCAGAUGUGACGAUCGGGAUUGAGGAUUGCAACGGAUACCCUUCGGGGCUACCCGUCUGAUCUCUGAAAGUUGCUUUGGUGCCGAAAGCUCGCUUACGGUCAACAAAGUUAACGUUCAACAGGUUAGAACGGGAUAAAUUCGUUAAGGAUGUUGACGUAAUGGCUUUAAACGACCCGUCUUGAAACACGGACCA